rnacentral:rRNA from 1 species
AUUGAACGCUGGCGGCAGGCUUAACACAUGCAAGUCGAACGAGUGGCGGACGGGUGAGUAAUGCUUGGGAAUCUGGCUUAUGGAGGGAGAUAACGACGGGACACUGUCGCUCAUACCGCGUACCAUAGGAUGAGCCCAAGUGGGAUUUGGUAGUGGGUGGGGUAAUGGCCUACCAAGCCGCCGAUCCCUAGCUGGUCUGAGAGGAGGACCAGCCACACGGGCACUGAGAAACGGUCCAGACUCGUACGGGAGGCAGCAGUGGGGAAUAGUGCGCAAUGGGGGCAACCUGACGCAGCCAUGCCGCGUGAAUGAAGAAGGCCUUCGGGUGGUAAAGUUCUUUCGGUGACGAGGCGUUAAUCACAGAAGAAGCACCGGCUAACUCCGUGCCAGCAGCCGCGGUAAUUC